rnacentral:misc_RNA from 1 species
CACAUUCGCUUUAAACAUUUCAAUUGCAAUGCCAGGAAAAGAGAGAUGCACCAAUUUGUGCAUUAAGUGUUACAAAUUUAAAAUACAAAAUAGUUCAAAAUGACUCAGGCUCAUGUUCGUAAACUUCUAAACCAAAUAACCACGAACCCAUUUUCAGAAUUAAAAAUUCAGAUACAUAAAACACAUCUGACCCAGCUGAAUACAAAAGGCUUAAGAAAAAUCAACUGUCAGUAUGUUUGCCCUUUCGCCCCGCCACUGAAGCAGGGAUCCUUCUAAUUCACAUUCUAACAUAACCUUCUUUCUGUAUUAUCACUACUUUGUGUCCCUUAUUGUUUCAAAGGGAGCAAAUGUCUCCCCAACGCCCACCAAAGAAUGAUAUAUGCUCUCCUUAUUUUUCAAACAAUGCGGGGCUCAACUAUACUUCUGGAAGACGAUACAAAACAAAGGUAGACACUGGAAUGGAACAGAAGGAUAAAGAGAGCAUAAAAAACUCACACUUCAGGGAAUAUUCGCGAUACUAGAAAACCUACAAAAUAAGUUUACUGUCAAGACUGCACAGCUAGCCUCUGAAGAUGCUCGAAGAAGACUUGAAGGCUCACAUCAUCUGUAAAUAUCACAUCAGAUCCAGCAGCCAUCUCAUGGGCGUUGUUGUAAUUAGCUGAUGGAUUCAAUUUUGCCAACAAGAACCUUGCCUACUCAGGCACGGCAUGAAUAAUGAAAUCAAAGUGAGUUUCAGAUAAGAAUAUCAGUUUCCAAUGAACUGGUGCAGUAAACCAUUUCAAUUUUAUUAAAUGAAGUGAAUUCAAUAACCAAAUUCAGUAAUUGUUUUGAACAAAGUAGUCAAACAUCCAUUUGUUCAGUAGUAUAACGAUAAAAAUGCCAAUCAAGAACUAUGACUUGCAACAUGGAAUAUGUAACCAAAGGUGUAUGGAAUCAUUUUUUUGUUCACAUCCAUUUACUUCUGAAGCAAAAAUACAGAUAGAGAACAGGAGUAUUACUGCAGAAACCUUAAGCACAAAAACAAAAAUAAAUUUACCUGAGAUCCAUGCUGAUCACAGACCACCAUUCUAGGAAUUGGGAAACGGUCCCUAAUGAUCAUUUGGGCAUCAUCUUGAGGAGCUUGCAAUAGCUGUGCAAAUGCCUGGUGUUCUGGUUGAUUCUGGUAACCCAUGUUACGCCACUGUGCUAUUGUCAUCCCAUGGAAGACGACCAAACUAAAAUAUGAAUCCAGUAAGAGAAUUCGGUCAGCUGCAAUAGAAGCCACAUCCAACAAUGCAGGUUGAGGCAGUGAGUUAAAUGAAUAUGAUAUUAGUGAUGGCUGAAUCAUGACAGCAGCAUUGGCGAUGUUUUCUCGGUUUAACAACAUGCGGAAAUAAGCUGUCUCAUCUGGACUGUUGUUAAAGACCUGUACAAACUGAGACCGUCGGAGAUUAAACAUAAACUGAGGGAACAAGGAAAAACAAGGGUUCAAUGCAAAAGAUGAUGGAUCAUCCUUCCGAUAGUCACCAAAUUUGGAACAGAGCCGAAUCAGGUUCCGGUCUAACCACCGAGUGGCAUCAAAUCCUUCCUCUGUCUCCAUUUUCAGGGAUGUUAUUCUUGCCAUUACCACAGCAGCAGUCUCUUGGUCAAAACCUUGUACUAACUCCUCUGAGCUAACAGCACUAUCUAUCCAUCUUCUUGUAACUGUUGUGACCCGAAGCAAUGUAUGACCUUCAGGGUUCUGAUAACUUGUAAGGAACUGAAUGUAUAACUGUGGAUUUACAGUUCCUGGAGUAUUUGACCUCUCACUGGAUGAAAGAUCAAAUAAGACAGUCAAACAAGUGCUCUUGUCAAGACCACACAUCUUCCAAGCGGUAGUAUUUCCCUCCCCCACAACUGUAUCAGCAACAUUAGGUCCUUUCUUUUCCAUAGACGUGCAAGGUCCAAUGAUCCCUUGAACUUUAAUGUCCUUCGAACAGUUAAUCUCAAGCAUUCCAUUGAAACAAAGACCAAGAGACUGUUCUCCGUCUUCAAAUAUAUGCUUGAAAGAGUCCUUAAAUACAGAAUGCCCAAAACUUUCAGAUAGAACAACAAGACCACCAGUCCUUUCAACUGCAACUUUCAUUUCAGCAAUCCCAACCUGAUCAAGUGCAGAUGCAAAAAGGUUUAAAACAUGACCCUGGCUAACAAGCUGCUUCGCAAGGUUGUCAUAGAAUUUAACUGCUUUUUUAAAAUAUGGUGCUGCAUCCUUGUCAAGAUCUUUAUGGGAACGCACUGGAUCUGACAAAUCUUUUGAUACAAUCGUGCCAAGUCCUUCUGUGCAUGGACCACCAACCAAAGCUAUAAUCCUGGCGCCAGUCCCAGGCAAACAAGCUCCAAGCAAUCCUGCCGCCACACUUAAGGCCACUCCUGUGCACCUUGAAGCUCGAUUUCCAGGAGCAACCGGCCAUUGAUCCGUUUGCAACUCAUCCAAAAGAGAAUUCAGGGUAUAUUCGCACUCGGAUGCGGGCAAUAAGAAGCGUGCAACGCCGGUAUUUGGAAACCCAUUUUGCAUUCCUUUCUGUUGAUAUCCAGUAGGGGCUCUCCUGCCCGAAACGCCAAUUCCCAACUGCUCCAUAAUCUGAUCUUUCGAAAUCUCCUUGCUGCCUCUAAAAACAUAAACCUUCGACAUAUCUGAAAAUCCCAAUUCAUGAACCCGUGCCUGCGUCCCAAACGAAACGAAUCCAACAAGCGCAUUAUCCGGCAACAACCCAAUCGCGCGUUUGAGCGCCAAUUUCACGAACCCAAACUCCUCCUCGAUCAUGCACGUAUCGAGAACGAAUAAGAAAACAGGUGAAGCAGACGGUGCAGGGGCCGCAUUCAUGGGAUUAUUGGGAUUGACAUUAGGGUCAGAAAGCGUGUACUGCACAGUCGUGUAUUGAGGGUAUAGCUCAGCUGGGAGAUUAGUCUCGGAGAUCAGGGAGUAGUGAGGAGGAAAAUGAUUGCGCAGGAAACAAAAGGGGCAGAUCCAGAUCUUGGCAGUAAAGUCGACGCGCGAGAAGGAAUUGAGGAUUGCGGAGCAAGUCUUGCAGCGGAGAGGCGUGUAAGGAAGGGUAGGGAUAUCAGGGUGGUGGCGGAUCAGAGAAAUGGAGGCGGCGAGUGGGAUCACGCACUUGCUGGCUUCGACUUUGGUGCGUGGCCAGACAUUCCAUGUCAUUCGAACUCCGUCAAUCCCUUCCGGAUCUGUGUUGGCCAUCUCCGACAUGGCUGAUUAUUCGAAGAAACGAAAAAAAUAAAAAAUAAAAAAAGUUCCUGCGUGUGGAUUUCGGCGAAGGAGAAAUUGAAAAAUUGAAGAAAAUUGGCAAAUUGGAGGGAGUGGCGACCCCUGAAGAAAAGGGGAAGAGAGGGGUCACCGCAAAAGAUAGAGAGAGAGGAUGAUGAGGAGAGGAGAUGUUGAAAAAUUGAAGAAAAUUGGCAAAUUGGAGGGAGUGGCGACCCCUGAAGAAAAGGGGAAGAGAGGGGUCACCGCAAAAGAUAGAGAGAGAGGAUGAUGAGGAGAGGAGAUGUUGGGUAUGAAGAGAGUUUCAAAGGGAGAAAACGUCCGACUUGGGCGUUAAAAACUGGUGCUGAAUUGUUGGGACGGAAGAAUUUUGUGUGUGUGUCUGCAAAUCUUAUUUCCGAAAAAUAAUAUAGAAAUAAAUAAUAGGCUAAUAAUACUCUUUUU